CUAGGGCUGCUCCCGCGGCAUACGGAGGUUCCCAGGCUAGGGGUUGAAUCGGAGCUGCAACCGCCGGCCUACGCCAGAGCCACAGCAAUGCAGGAUCCGAGCCACGUCUGUGACCUACACCAGAGCUCACGGCAAUGCCGGAUCCUUAACCCACUGAGCAAGGCCAGAGAUCAAACCUGCAACCUCAUGGUUCCUAGUCAGAUUCAUUAACCACUGCGCCACGACGGGAACUCCCAGAUUGAUCUCUUUACCUGAGAAACCUCUAUGUGUUAUUUUCAAGUCCAAAACAAAGCAGGAAUUGCAGAGGCAAAAGAGAAAGUUAUAAAACUAAGGAUGUAAACCUGCAAGUUAAGGCAACACACACCAGUAGAGAAAUUCACUUGAAUAGUUCUGUGUUGGGGGAAAAACUCAGGGCAUUGUAAAUUCUGGAAGCGGGGAGCUCCUGGUGAUUCAUCUAAUUUAGCAUUAAAGACUGGCCCUCAGGGUAGGACAAACAUAGGCCACAGGUCUGAACACACUUGGCUAAGGCGAGUCCUGCUGUUAUUGGUGGAGAACAUCUCCAGUGAUGCCUACUAAGAACCUGAGACCCUGGGUCACGCAAAAUUCAUCCACCUCAAGUAUUUAGAGAAAAUUGUAAUGACACAGACCAUUUAGUCUGUUAUCACCUAGGCGAAUGGUACUGUACGUGGGAAUUUCCCACAAACCGGUUCUCCCUCUUUCCAAUGUGAUGGAUGAGAACAUGAAGUACAAGCAAAUUCUCAGGGGGGUCAGAGCUCCGCCGCCAUCUUGCUUUCAGUGCUGCUUUCACAGAUCCUAUUGUGCUUAUUCAAGUCACUCGUUAAGUCUCCUUGGAAAUAUAAUCACCUGAUGUAUGAAGCAACCAGAGAGAGGCUGUGCAAUAGCACUUAAGACCUUGUUAACAACGUCCCUGACAACAGCUACAAUUAACCUAACACUAUAACGAACACUAAACUGCCCCUUCGUCAGGCCCUUAUGUAGACAAGUCUGGAGGGGAGAUUCCAUGGGUCACCUCAUCCCACGAUGGACAAGGAAUUCCUUGUCUUUGAAUGUGAUCUAGGAACCUCUUGACUUUCUCUGAAACAUGAAUCCAAAUGCCAUAGGACGAAUUAGCCAGCGCACAAAAGCUGCCUUGUUUGGUCGGUGAGUAACCUAAAAUGAGGCAGCUGCCCCAGGUCAUUGUGAGUGAGUAAAUGAACAAGGCUCUCGCCAUUGACCUUGACCAUCGGACAUCUCCUAGACACUUUCAUCUGGUAGGACUGCCAUUCCUAGGGACAUUAUCUAAAACAGAGUUCUGAUCAGGAGCCCUAUACCAAGGGAGAAGCCAGAGUGAUGCGAAGUGAUGGAGCAGCAUCUCUCCCUCCUCUGGAACAUCUCUUCUUGCAGGCAGGUCCUUUACUGAAAUCCCAAAAUGGGUACAUGUGGUACAUGGGUACAGCCAAGCCUCCCUAAGAAGGUAGACCCCUUCCCCUUGCCAAGGCCCAUGUGGAGUGGUGAUAUUACCUUGGUAGAAAUAUACGAAACCACGUGGGCCACCACCUGUUAUUUUGGUAAAUAUUUGAAGGUCACUGUUGUGGCUCAGAUUCAGUCCCUGGCAGGAACUGCCAUAUGCUGCAGGUGAGGUCAUGAAGAAAGGAUAAAAAAAAAAAAGAAAGAAAGAAAAGAAAAUAGUGCAGUGAGUUCAAGAAGCACAAGGAUAUUUUCUUUGAUGUCUGAAAAAGAAGUACAAAGAGCUUUAUUAAUUAUUUCCUAUGAAAUAAUAAUUUACCAUCAGCAAAGGUACCGUUCGGAAAAAAUUCUAUUUAGUGUAGUUGUUCCCAAGAGUUGGUUCCUGGACAGUAACCAAAAAGAUGUCAUUCUUUCAGGUAAAGGUAUUAAUUGUAGACCAAGCAGAAACAAAUUAAUUGCCAUGAAUGCCUUAUCGUGGCCGCUAGUACCCUUUCCAGCACAGCACUUAACAGAAAGGGACGCCGUGACAUUCCAUGGGAAGAAUAACAAAUUCAAAUUGUUACCACUAUUGGUGAAUAAAAUAAGCUCCCACAAUAAUUCUGAAUUACUUAAAAUCUAGAGAAUGCCAGACAAAUCUUAUUAUUUUUAUUGUCUUUUCUUUUUAUAGCGUGAAAAGGAAAAUCUUUAUGUUUACUCACUGGCUACCCUGGGAAACGCAAAGAUAUUUUAUGUUUAAAAGCAAUCCUUAGAGUUGCAUGAUUCUAAAUUUGGGGGCUCUUUUUGGAGAAAGCAAUAUCAAAAAGAAUCAUCGGAAUAGGUUAGUCCCGAGAACAAAAGAAGUUCUUGGCUGCUUCAUUAAACCGAGCAACAAAAUAAUAGAGCGGGUUAAGGAUGCAGCAUUGCCACUGCAGCGGCUUGGGUCACUGCUGUGGUGAGGGUUUGAUCCCUGGCCCAGGAACUUCCACAUGCUGCAGGCAUGGCCAAAUAAAAUAAAAUAAAAUAACUUAGAAGCAUGAUGAGAGAGUAUAAACUAAAAACUGAAACUCUUAAGAAUUGAGUCUACGUCAAGCAAGAAUAUUUCCUCAUGUGGAAAGAAGAUAAAUAGUGCAAGGUUAUAAUUUCCCUUCAUAGGACCUCCUUUCUCUCUUAGUUAAGGUUUUUGCUUAUUGAAUCAUUGUGUUUAUAUAGUCAAACAUAUGUAAGUAUAUUAUAUAAUCUUUCACAUUAUUAAUCUUGUUAACAUAGGACAAUGUCUAUGUCACAUUGACUUUAUCACUGUGAUUCAAAUCUCAUAAAAGAGCAAACCAGUUCCUGUAUAGUCAAGAAUUAAAGUUAAAAUAACUUCAACUGUGGUGGGCUGACUGAUGACC
rnacentral:lncRNA from 1 species